AUGUACCACUCGGGCACUGCGGCUCCUGCCCGCCGUCCGCACCCACCUGACGACUGCUCACUACGUUGUCAUCC
rnacentral:sRNA from 1 species